CUGUGCACAGUAGGUUGGGGAAGUCCUCUGGGGAAGGAGCCCACCACACUGGGACUCAGGCAGCAGGGCUAGAAAGGUGGUUCCGCUGGGUGUCGGGGCUUGGUGUGAUCAAGAUCUGGUCUCUCUCCAGUGUCCUUAAUAAGAGGCACUGCCAUUCAGAUGGUUGCACAAGGCAGAAAAUAGAGGAGUACCUAAAAGAGGGUGGAAGAUGCUUAUUGCUUGGUUGCCCAGAAGAAUCAUGGCUGUUGCUGAUAAUUAUGACUGACAGUGAGCAAGGAAAGCCUGCCAGGCCUUCCCUUGUUCCUAGACAACAGACUCAACACUGAUUAAACUUAUAACCCUGGAAUUUAAUUUCCUAGUCACUGAGUUUUGGACUUAGAACAACAACAACAAAAAAAACCUAAAAAAACAAGAAACCAAACCAGAAACAGAAGUAAGUAUUGGCUUCUUGAUGAAUGCUCAAGGACGGAUUUAAAAACUUGGUGUAUAUUACAGAAGUUACUGAUACACAUAAUCCAUUUGAUCGAUGCAAGGGUAACAACAGUCAACUGAGAAGACUGAAUUCCUUUUGGAGUCUGAGAAAGCCACUUUCGACUCCCUAAGGAAUUGUCUGCCCUUGGUUUCCUCUGAAAAAUCGACAGAUGUAAUCUGUUGUGCCUAAGUUUUCCAUCAAGAUUGAGGUGCAUAACCUUUUCUUUUAUAAAGUUAAAUAUCAUCAAG